rnacentral:rRNA from 1 species
CCUACGGGAGGCAGCAGUGAGGAAUAUUGGUCAAUGGGCGGGAGCCUGAACCAGCCAAGUCGCGUGAGGGAAGACGGUCCUAUGGAUUGUAAACCUCUUUAGGCGGGGAGCAAUGCCGGGCACGCGUGCCCGGAGGGAGAGUACCCGCAGAAUGAGCAUCGGCUAACUCCGUGCCAGCAGCCGCGGUAAUACGGAGGAUGCGAGCGUUAUCCGGAUUUAUUGGGUUUAAAGGGUGCGUAGGCGGAUUUUUAAGUCAGCGGUAAAAUGUCCGGGCUCAACCCGGGCCGGCCGUUGAAACUGGGGAUCUUGAGUGGGCGAGAAGUAUGCGGAAUGCGUGGUGUAGCGGUGAAAUGCAUAGAUAUUAGGAGGAACACCAGUUGCGAAGGCGGCUCUCUGGACUGUAACUGACACUGAGGCACGAAAGCGUGGGGAGCAAACAGGAUUAGAUACCCGAGUAGUC